rnacentral:lncRNA from 1 species
UGGGGUCACAAGUUCACUACUAUAGAUACUUCUCUUUCUGCGUGCGUGUGUUUUUUUUUUACCUCUGCAUAUAAUUUUCAUUUCGUAGCAUUUAUUUUUUAUUACUUUACGUAAUUAGUCAGUAGCUCAUAUUAAGAUUAUAUAUGUGAUAUAGAAAUGUGUUAGCACCUUGUAUUUUUCCUUUUCGGACUUUGUAUACAUCGC